rnacentral:rRNA from 1 species
AAUGAACGCUGGCGGCAUGCCUAACACAUGCAAGUCGAACGGUGCCUUCGGGCAUAGUGGCGCACGGGUGCGUAACGCGUGGGAAUCUACCCUUGGGUUCGGAAUAACUCAGAGAAAUUUGAGCUAAUACCGGAUGAUGACGUAAGUCCAAAGAUUUAUCGCCCAAGGAUGAGCCCGCGUAGGAUUAGCUUGUUGGUGAGGUAAAAGCUCACCAAGGCGACGAUCCUUAGCUGGUCUGAGAGGAUGAUCAGCCACACUGGGACUGAGACACGGCCCAGACUCCUACGGGAGGCAGCAGUGGGGAAUAUUGGACAAUGGGCGAAAGCCUGAUCCAGCAAUGCCGCGUGAGUGAUGAAGGCCUUAGGGUUGUAAAGCUCUUUUACCCGGGAUGAUAAUGACAGUACCGGGAGAAUAAGCUCCGGCUAACUCCGUGCCAGCAGCCGCGGU